CUCCCAGUGUCCCCAAGUGUCUGUGUUCCCAUGCCUCCCAGCCAGUGUCCCUAGUGUCUCAGUGUCCCCAUGUCUCCCAGUGUCCUCUAGUCUACCAGUGUCUGUGUUCCCAUGUUUCUCAGUGUCCCUAGUAUCUUAGUGUCCCCAAAUGUCUGUGUCCCCAUGUCUCUGUGUCCCUAGUGUCUGUCCCCAUGUCUCACUGUGUCCCCAUAUCUCUCAGUGUCCCCUAGUAUCCUAGUGACACAGGACACACUGAGACAUGGGGACACUGGGAGCAAUGAGGACACAGACACCUGGAGACUAGUGGACUGAGUGACAUGGGGACACACUGACACUGUGAUACAUACGGACACUGAUGCCAGGCUGGUCUUCCAAUUCUUUGGGCAGACAUGCCCCCUUUUUGGGCAUUGUCGCUGCUUUUGGCUUUUCUGGUCAAGUGAUUCGUGUCAGUAGCCCACCCUUUUACACCGCCCAUUGACUUCCUGCUUCACUGGACAC